AACAGGAAAUACAACAGGUUUGCACAGACAUGAACUUAACACAAGACAUGGCGACAGGGAGGGAACAUAAAGACGUGGGACCAGGGCAGGAGAACACACAGGGCUUAAAUACACACACAGGAGUAAUCAUGGGUUGGGAGACAGGAGGGAGAAGUCAGGGCCGACGAGACACAGACGUAAAGCUGAGAACACUCACAUGAGACGGAGACCUUAAGAAUAAAACAGGAAAUACAACAGGUUUGCACAGACAUGAACUUAACACAAGACAUGGCGACAGGGAGGGAACAUAAAGACGUGGGACCAGGGCAGGCACAGGGACACAGAACAAAAGGAGCUUGAAAUACAAAACAGAAACAAAACCUGAGAACAAGAAAUUCCCAACAAGAAUGAACCUAAAACAUAAGAUAAUAAUCAAAACCUAAAAGUCCACCACUGGGUCCACAGACUCAGGACCACGACAACUGCUGUCUUCAAAAAAGGGCAGAGUUGGCUUUUCCUAAUGAGGUGGCUCAGGUUCUUCAAUGUUGGUAGGAAAAUGCUGACCAUGUUCUAUCACGCUGUGGUAGAAAGCGUUCUUUGCAGCUGUGUGCUGGGGCAGUGGGGUGAAGACAGCUGAUGCCAACAGGCUGAACAAGCUGAUCUAAAAGGCUGGUUCUAUCCUGGGUGUCAGACUGGAGAACCUGGAGGUGUCCGAGAGGAGAAUGCUAAAGAAGCUUCUUUGUGUUAUGGACAACCUCUGCCAUCCCAUGCAUGCCUCCGUGAUGGACCAUCGGAGCACACGCAGCAAAAGACUAAUCGCCCCGAAAUGCAGAACUGACCGCCACAGGAAAUCCUUCAUGCCAGUGGCAAUAAGACUGUACAACUCUUCCUCGCUCUGUAGGGGAUUUUCCUGAGGAUUACUACCAACGUUAUUCUGUUCCCAUUUAGACCGUGCAAUAUCACCCAACAGUAUUUUAUUGAAUGUUUGUUUCAUCUCCCCAUCAUAUGCUGCUACUCUCUUUUAUUUAGUUGCAUAAUACUAUGUCACUUUUUAGAGUCACCUGCACUGAUAGUUAAGUUAUUUUAUUUUUC
ensembl:lncRNA